UAUCUAUAUCUAUAUCAAUAUCUAUAUCAUCAUAUUAGUAAUAAACGACGUUAGGAAAUUCCUAUGUUUCCUAUUUUAACAACUCGCGUUGAUUCGGUGUGAACCUAUUCGUAUUAAAAAUCGUUCGGAAUUGAGCGGGUCAAAGUUCUCCAACUAAUACAUACAGACAGAAAUGGUGACGCACUUUUAUAUUCUAUACUUCUUAUAUACAUUAUUUUGUUUGUCUUUAUUUACUUCGUAGAUGUUAGAAGAAAACGUGUGUGUGGUUAUUUGUUUAUACGUUAGUGUUUCGUGUAUCAUAGGUACUAAUUUGUUCAAAAGAAAUAAUUUCAAUUCUAAUAAUAUUUAGAGAUUUGUUCAAAAAUUUAAUAAAGAGGAAGUUUUACUUUUUUAAGGAUUAUAUACUGAUCUGAAAUCCGAUAUUUUUUUUCAAUUAAAAUUUGUGUCGAAAAAAAGUUUAGUACAGUGGGUCAUAUUGUAAAGGAUACAGAUUUUUCGUUAAAUAAGGUCUUGUAACUAAAAGAAUGGAUCGUUUCAAAAUAUUUUAUUAAAACAUUUGUAAUAAAUACAAGUAUAUUUAGUAAUUAAGAAGAGUAUGAUGUGCUGAGCAUUGAGGACACGUUUCCAUAUUAGGAAGUUACACAUGAGAUUUGUUCAAAAGGCAAGACAUUUUUAUCAAAAUCUUUUAAUUUAUUUAUUGUAACUAAAAGUUUUCAAAGUAAUACUCCAAGACCUAAAAUACUCUUUUGUAAUAAAGCUCUGGCUUUUCAUAAGACUCUUGAAAACUUGAAGACCAUAAUUAUUCACUAGUUAAGCGGUGUUAGUAUAUUGCAGGGUCGCUGUUUUAAGUAUUUCGGAGUAGUUAAUAUAAUUAAAAAAAAUCUACCAUAUUCUUAAUUUUUUGGCAUUUUUAUAUAAUUAUAUAUUUUAAUUCAGGAAAAAAAAUAUUUUAAAUUUGUUACUGCAUCAAAUUAUAUAAUAUAAACAUUUCGCAUUAUUUAGCAAAUAAAAAUUAUUUACCAAACUAUAUACUGCUUUUGGUUUGCUUAUUCCUAAAAUCAUACAUUUUGUUGUAAUCUCCAACUUAAUGCAGUGGCAAAAGUACAAACAAUGCGUUUUUAAUUUCCGCUUUCGUUCACUAUUCGCUUUUAGCGUGUAUCUCACAUAAGUACCCGCACGAGUUCAUUUAAUAUUGGAUUGUUGUUUUUGUUUUCCAUUCCAUUUUACUUGUUUCCUAUUUAUCAUUUACUCACAUCGUCGAUGUUUGCCGUUAUUUGUUUAUGCUGCCGAGUUGGUAACAACAAGUUCAUAUUGUUGCUGUUUGUGCAAACCUGGAAGAAGUAACGGAAGAAACUCAAACAGCUAAUAAGAGGUAGUACACGUUCUUCUACAACUGAAAUACUACCUCCGUCAAAUUGGUGGAAGCUCUUUUUUGUUGCUGCGCCAUUACACAUACGUAUACAGUUCAAUACAUAUGUAUAUAUAAGAUAUAUAUGAUGAUACAUGAGAACAUCCGUUGUCAAUGCGAGCAAAUGCAGCUGGAAUGGCACGUGAGAGAGUGAUAAAAAUACGUGCUAACAAACAUCUAAUAUUGAUAAAAAGCUAACGAGCUGAUACGCUUACUGUGUGUUUGUAAAAGCAUGUCUCAGCGCCCUAAGCAACAGCAACAGCUUCGUGUAUUGUAUCAGUUUCUUACGAGUUGUAAUUAAAAUCGCUUUAAAGAUGUCGAACACUUUUCAAUUACAAUUCAAUUCUGCAUAUUCUUAAAAAAACUUACAAUAAAUUCAAUAAGCACAUGUGCAUGUAUGUGUAGAUAUCGCAUCGGCGUUAAUUGUUUGUGAUGCCUAACUUGUUUUCAUUUCAUUACUAUUCAAUGAUUCCAUUUACACGUACAAUUUGUCAGCAAAAACAAAAAAAUAAAACAUAAAAAUUAAAUUAAGAAGGGAAGGACAAAAUUCGGUAGGAACUCACUUAUAUAAUUUUUUGGUUUUUAGAUAAAUUUCUUCAAAAUUUAUUAAACGAACUUAUUUAUAUACGACAGAUUCCUGUAUUAUAUUUGGGAAGAGAUAAAUUAGAAUGGCAACAAUUUUACGAACCUUUUAUACUUUCGCGACAUGUUGUACAGAGUAGCUCACAACCACGAUAGCUAAAUUUUGAAUUCCAUAUGAUUCGUUCACUUUGUAAUAUAAAUCAAGAACCAAUAAAAAUAUUGGAAUAAAACUUUGAAAAUACUGCUUUGGAGAUGUAACAUCGCUGGAUUAAAAAUUGUCAAAAUCGAACUAUAAGUUUUAAAGGCCUAAAAUAUCGAGCACGAAGUCCUCGGUGCCUAUGGAUUUACCGAAAAUUUUGAUACAUCCCUUAUAUUUUUUAAAGACAUUUAAAGGAAAUUCCUUUCUUUUAAUAUUGUAUCUCUUUGCCAAAAGUGGGUAAAAUUUGGUUAUAUCUUCCGCUAGCUCUAAUACCUAAAAUUCGGGGUUUGAAACAUCCGGUGGAACCUUAACAAAAUCAUAUUGGCUUAUAGUCUUGGAUAUAAUGUAUUUGGUGGUGAAAAAUAGUGAAAUCGAUUUAGAAAUUAUCUCAGCCCUCAUAUACAUAUCUACUAUAUAUAAUAAUUUUUGUUAUCUUAAUAGACUUUAUGCCGAAUCAAAUUGCGUAUUAUCUUAAUAAAAUUACAUCAAUAAAUUGUGGGAGUAUAAAAUGUUCGGUUGCACACGCACUUACCCCUUCCUUACUUGUUAUAUGAAUAUAAAAUAAUAUAAAGGCAUCUAACACUGACUUUAUUUGAACCAAAUACCUAAUAGCACAAGUUGCCUGAGUACAAAGCUCGCUUCGGUUUUUAUCACAGCUGGUGUUUUGUAAAGAAAUUUAUGCAUUUCAAUUUUCAUUUUCAAUUAAUUGGCCAUUGAGAGGGACACAAAAAAGUGUUCAUGUUUUGCACAUUUUAUAAAUGCAUUUGUACUUAUGUGUAUGUGAACAUAAUUCCGUAUCAAUUAAAAUAAUUAAUAUUUAGUACUAAUCACUUUUAAUUAGAGUAAACAAAAAUGUAUGUUAAUAUAUGUUUAUAGUUUAUGCUACAUGAUGAUAAAUGUAUGUACGUAUACAGAUAUACAGAAAUGUAUUUUUUAUAUAGAAAAGUAAACUAAAAAAUUUGUAAUACUUCAAAUAGAGUUCGAUUUAAUAAACUGGCCGCAUUCAUUUUGGCAUAAAUUCAGAAAAUAGUUAAUAUGUUUUUGAUUAGUGUCUAAUGGAACGAACAAAAGGUAUAGGUAAAACAAACAGAGAAUAGACAGAAACUGUGUUACUCAACAUACCCUCUUGUAUUAUAUCAAUGUGAAGAUUUUUUUAAAUAAAACAGAAGAAAAUAUAAAUAUUUGAAAAUAAAUUUAUACGAUUUUAAUAUCGGCGGCGAACACAUUUUUUACUGAUGUAGAAUGUAGACCUUCGUAAUUUCAAUUCAUCAUCAAUUUUAUGUUUCCAUAAAUAGUUUGGUUUAUCUAGGGAUCUAAACCAUACCAAAGUCCACAAAAUCUUAUGAUUUGGGAAAAUUUAAUAGCUACAUAUAUAUGAACUUCUGUCUGAUGGAAAAUUAUAAAAUAGUUUAUACUCAAAAGUUGUCAUAAAUGAAAAUUUCAAAAAAAUAUGAAAAACGUCGUUAUAAUUUUGUUGUGAUAAAUCUUAAAAAAAGCUGAUUUACUGAAAAACAAAAACAUUCAAUGUACAACGUAGUGAGUCGUAAUUUUGUAAAUUUAUUUUGUAAGCAAUCUAACAACAAUUUUUUUAAACAAGUGAAAUAUUAUCGAUGAACGUUUGAAAAUAAAAACAGAAAUUGGAAUCGAAAUUAUAGCACUGUUAUAGAACUUUAAAUGCUCUACAGGACAGUUCGAUUUAAAGUGCUAAUGUACACCUGGUGAGGGUACCUGACUUUUUGAACAGCUCCUCCGUUGUGUAAGGCGAUCAAUCCAUCAAGCCAUUAGAACUAAGUAAGCGCUAAGUCAAUGAUGUAUCCAAGAUGUCAAAGGACCCUUAGUGGCAAAUUGAAUGUCGUAUGAGAGCGAAAUCGAAAUUAACGGAAAACGGCGAAAUUGUCCAAUAAAAAGUAGCCAAAAUAUUGCGCGUCAACAAACAAGGCGGCAACAAAGAAAAAUAGCAACAAAUUAGGACGAGAAAAUCGAGCAAAUAGCGCUAGCAAUAAGGAGAGCCAUAACAACUACAUUAAACAACAAAAUCAACAACAACAUUAA